rnacentral:rRNA from 1 species
UACAGAGGUCUCAAGCGUUGUUCGGAUUCAUUGGGCGUAAAGGGUGCGUAGGCGGACCUGCAAGUCGGGGGUGAAAGCCCGAGGCUCAACCUCGGAACUGCCUUCGAUACUGCGGGUCUCGAGUCCGGGAGAGGUGAGUGGAAUUCCUAGUGUAGAGGUGAAAUUCGUAGAUAUUCGCAAGAACACCAGUGGCGAAGGCGGCUCACUGGCCCGAUACUGACGCUGAGGCACGAGGGCCAGGGGAGCAAACGGG